rnacentral:SRP_RNA from 1 species
CGUGCCAGGCGGGGAGAUAGCGGUGCCCUAUACCUACAAUCCGCUAAAGUAGGGCUUCAUUCCCGUCCUGAGGCGUCGGCUUGUUUAGCUGGCUCAAUUAGAGAUGUUGAGGACUGGGUCCCAUGCAAUUAUCUGCCGUGAACCAUGUCAGGUCCUGACGGAAGCAGCAUUAAGCGGAUUUGGUGAUGUGCCGUGGGCUUGCCUAGUUUGAGUCUUGAAACUGAUUACCGUUUAUGAGUCCGGCGUCGAAGGAUGGGUGCACG